rnacentral:rRNA from 2 species
CUAAUACAUGCAAGUCGAGCGCAGGAAACCAGAUGACCCCUUCGGGGUGAUUCUGGUGGAAUGAGCGGCGGACGGGUGAGUAACACGUGGGCAACCUGCCUGUAAGACUGGGAUAACUUCGGGAAACCGGAGCUAAUACCGGAUAGUAUUUCCUUUCUCCUGAUUGGAAAUGGAAAGACGGUUUCGGCUGUCACUUACAGAUGGGCCCGCGGUGCAUUAGCUAGUUGGUGGGGUAAUGGCCCACCAAGGCGACGAUGCAUAGCCGACCUGAGAGGGUGAUCGGCCACACUGGGACUGAGACACGGCCCAGACUCCUACGGGAGGCAGCAGUAGGGAAUCUUCCGCAAUGGACGAAAGUCUGACGGAGCAACGCCGCGUGAGCGAUGAAGGCCUUCGGGUCGUAAAGCUCUGUUGUUAGGGAAGAACAAGUACGAGAGUAACUGCUCGUACCUUGACGGUACCUAACCAGAAAGCCCCGGCUAACUACGUGCCAGCAGCCGCGGUAAUACGUAGGGGGCAAGCGUUGUCCGGAAUUAUUGGGCGUAAAGGGCUCGUAGGCGGUUUCUUAAGUCUGAUGUGAAAGCCCACAGCUCAACUGUGGAGGGUCAUUGGAAACUGGGGAACUUGAGUGCAGAAGAGGAGAGUGGAAUUCCACGUGUAGCGGUGAAAUGCGUAGAUAUGUGGAGGAACACCAGUGGCGAAGGCGACUCUCUGGUCUGUAACUGACGCUGAGGAGCGAAAGCGUGGGGAGCAAACAGGAUUAGAUA